CACUGUGCAGGUUAAGCAGAAUACGUCUGCCGCCGGAUGGGCCCACAUCUGUUGCAGUGCCUUUGGUUUCAUGCCGACCUCCCCAGGGCUGUGAUGUCUGCCUCCCCUCACCGUGUACCUGGAGGAGGAGGGACGCCAGUAAGGAAGGAAGGUGGCUGGGGAGAGAGGGAAAGUGGAAGGCCUGUGCAGCCGGGUGGCAAGUUCUCCCACUCAGAACAUUGAUCAGCCGACCCGCGUGAUAUAUUGAGUUCGUUUCCACAGGAGCUCUGUGUGUCCGGGAGCUGGGCCGUGACAGCCCGAUAGUAGGAGCAAGCAGCGAUCCUAUCUCUGCCCACAAUGCAUGAGUCGUCUCAUCAGAUGCCAGGAGGGAGAGAUGAUGCUCUGAGCCUAUACUCAGCAAAAAUGAAUAUCUACUUCCAUUUUCCUGGCCCACCCGUGUCCUAUUGUGGAGAAAAGUGCUUCUCUCUGCUCUCAGAAGUCAUGAAGACUGCUGCCCUGUCCUGCCGUCAUCUGCCGCACCCUCUGGGUGUCGCUUCAGAACCUGGCUUCAGACGUGGCCGUCAGCUGCCUGAGAUUCAGAUUACAGAUGCCACAUCACCAGCCCCCAAAGCACCAGCCUGGGACCUUUGUCCAUCAUCCAUGUCACCCAGUCAUCGGGUAGAAGGAAAAAGACAAGCAUAUUUGCCAAUUUAUCCAAGUCUUCUAGGCCGCUGGGGACAUUUCCAGAUACCCCUUGAUUCUGGUCUUGUGAAACUUUCCAGAAAGAUGGCUGAGGCUGGCUUUCCUCCCUGCAGCCUGAGCUCUCAAUCUGGCACAGUGUCUGCUACCAUCUCUCCUCCAGGGCAUGUUCUUGUGUCUGGAGGAGUGAGAGGUGCAUCAGAAGAACCAAGACCAGCCACAGCGAAACACAGCAGCCCUCCCCUGGUCUGCCAGAGCAAUAAGCCAAGUUUGUUUGGCUCCAGACUGUCCAGUUUUGCCCACCCAUUGGGGGCUUUGCUGGGGGGAGGGCAGAGCUGGGCUACUGUAGGAGAGAGUGCAUUCAUUCACAAGUCAAUAG
ensembl:lncRNA